rnacentral:rRNA from 1 species
GGAUUAGAUACCCUGGUAGUCCUAGCCGUAAACGAUGGAUGCUAGGCGUUGGCAGACUCAAUCCUGUCCGCGCCGAAGUUAACACGAUAAGCAUCCCGCCUGGGAAGUACGACCGCAAGGUUAAAACUCAAAGGAAUUGACGGGGACCCGCACAAGCAGCGGAGCGUGUGGUUUAAUUCGAUGCUACACGAAGAACCUUACCCGGACUUGACAUAUAGAUGGUAGAGAAGAGAAAUUGGAUCGACUCGCAAGAGAGUCUAUACAGGUGUUGCAUGGCUGUCGUCAGCUCGUGCUG